rnacentral:rRNA from 1 species
GGCAGGCCUAACACCAUGCAGUCGAGCGGUAACAGAAAGUAGCUUGCUACUUUGCUGACGAGCGGCGGACGGGUGAGUAAUGCCUAGGGAUCUGCCCAGUCGAGGGGGAUAACAGUUGGAAACGACUGCUAAUACCGCAUACGCCCUACGGGGGAAAGGAGGGGACCUUCGGGCCUUUCGCGAUUGGAUGAACCUAGGUGGGAUUAGCUAGUUGGUGAGGUAAUGGCUCACCAAGGCGACGAUCCCUAGCUGUUCUGAGAGGAUGAUCAGCCACACUGGGACUGAGACACGGCCCAGACUCCUACGGGAGGCAGCAGUGGGGAAUAUUGCACAAUGGGGGAAACCCUGAUGCAGCCAUGCCGCGUGUGUGAAGAAGGCCUUCGGGUUGUAAAGCACUUUCAGUUGUGAGGAAAGGGUGUUGCUUAAUACGUAACAUCCUGUGACGUAGCAACAGAAG